GAUGGCGAGGCGGCGGAGAUGACGCAAGGUCUUCGAGAGCAAAGCAGAGGGGAGAGGACCGAAGGGGAUGCCAGGUGACGAAGCGCCAUCCGAACCAGAAGAAACGCCUACAAGAUGUUUGUUGAAAGUCCAAUGCAGAAAAAGCAAUAUGGGGCGACUUGGUGGAUGUUCCAGAAAAUGCAUUGCGUAUGCUCGUACAUAUUUUUGGUGUGACAGAAGACAGCUGAAACCAUUACAACAAUCAUUGUGAUGUUAUUACCGUUGUUUUAUUUUAAAAUAUUUAAUAAAUAGUGAGGGCAAUGGCUUGGCGAAGCCAUAGGCAUGUCAAAAGCCAUACGGCACCGCAGAAUUUCUCCAAAGCUAACUUCGAUAGCUAUGCAUCGG
rnacentral:lncRNA from 1 species